AAGACUACAACAGGAUCCCUCUGGGAACGGUGAUCAGAAGACUUCUUGGAAGAGGUGGCUGGCGGGCUUGGCUGGGUGAUGCUAGAGCUGGAGCCUGGCUGGACCUGACCACGUUGUGAACUGGACUCCGUGUGCCUCCUCCGCGUUCCUGUGACCCGAGCACAAGAAGGCAAAUCCGCCCUCCGCGCACACAGGUCACACCUCUGCGUCACAGUGGCUGCACUGGGGGAGCCUGGACAAUCAAGCCCACGUUCCUGGUGCAGCCAGGCAGGCACGGGAAGGAGCACAACAACACGAGAGCCCUUUCAAAGCCUCACUCCCGAGAACUCUCAUCAUUUUGCCUGCCUGAUGGUUCCUGGAAGAUCCCACUUACCAUGUUGUCUGUAGCUGAGCAAGCUCAA